AACAGGAUUAGAUACCCUGGUAGUCCACGCUGUAAACGAUGUCGAUUUGGAGGUUGUGCCCUUGAGGCGUGGCUUCCGGAGCUAACGCGUUAAAUCGACCGCCUGGGGAGUACGGCCGCAAGGUUAAAACUCAAAUGAAUUGACGGGGGCCCGCACAAGCGGUGGAGCAUGUGGUUUAAUUCGAUGCAACGCGAAGAACCUUACCUACUCUUGACAUCCAGAGAACUUUCCAGAGAUGGAUUGGUGCCUUCGGGAACUCUGAGACAGGUGCUGCAUGGCUGUCGUCAGCUCGUGUUGUGAAAUGUUGGGUUAAGUCCCGCAACGAGCGCAACCCUUAUCCUUUGUUGCCAGCGGUUCGGCCGGGAACUCAAAGGAGACUGCCAGUGAUAAACUGGAGGAAGGUGGGGAUGACGUCAAGUCAUCAUGGCCCUUACGAGUAGGGCUACACACGUGCUACAAUGGCGUAUACAAAGAGAAGCGACCUCGCGAGAGCAAGCGGACCUCAUAAAGUACGUCGUAGUCCGGAUUGGAGUCUGCAACUCGACUCCAUGAAGUCGGAAUCGCUAGUAAUCGUAGAUCAGAAUGCUACGGUGAAUACGUUCCCGGGCCUUGUACACACCGCCCGUCACACCAUGGGAGUGGGUUGCAAAAGAAGUACGUAGCUUAACCUUCGGGAGGGCGCUUACCACUUUGUGAUUCAUGACUGGGGUGAAGUCGUAACAAGGUAACCGUAGGGGAACCUGCGGCUGGAUCACCUCCUU
rnacentral:rRNA from 1 species